GGGCAGGGUUGAUAGACACCCCACUCCAGGAAGGCUGUGGAACAGACAGAUUUGUAAGUCUUCUAUUAAACAAGUUGCAACAUUUAAUAGUACUAACUGUUUAAUUCAUUUCUUCUGAUUGUUCUUCUGAAUAUUGCUAUUAUUAAAGGAAUCAUUGCUAGUAAGGGUCUUGCCUUACUUGGUAGGUAUUUUAACUGUGCAGUCAUCUGGUACACUAUAUGUGCUAAUUACAGGAGCAGAAACAUUCUCAAUUGUACUUGGGUGUGAUUAUGUUCUUGUGCUUUCCUGCAGGAAGCUUAUUUUCGAUACAUGGCAGAAAACCCAACUGCUGGUGUGGUUCAGGAGGAAGAGGAAGACAAUCUAGAAUAUGAUAGUGACGGAAAUCCAAUUGCACCUACCAAAAAAAUCAUUGAUCCUCUUCCCCCCAUUGAUCAUUCAGAGACUAACUUUGAAUAAUUGGACCUGCAGAUUGACUAUCCACCAUUUGAAAAAAACUUUUACAAUGAGCAUGAAGAGAUAACCAACCUCACUCCACAGCAGUUAAUAGAUCUCCGGCAUAAGCUCAAUCUUCGGGUCUCUGG
rnacentral:sRNA from 1 species